rnacentral:rRNA from 1 species
CGCGGCCUAUCAGCUUGUUGGUGGGGUAAAAGCCUACCAAGGCUAUGACGGGUAGCGGGUCUGAGAGGAUGAUCCGUCACACUGGGACUGAGACACUGCCCAGACUCCUACGGGAGGCUGCAGUCGAGAAUCUUCCACAAUGGGCGAAAGCCCGAUGGAGCGACACCGCGUGCAGGAUGAAGGCCUUAGGGUUGUAAACUGCUGUCACGCUAUAGGAACCCACGGUGGUGAAUAGUCAUCGUGCUGACUAAAGCGAGAGGAAGCACCGGCUAACUCCGUGCCAGCAGCCGCGGUAAUACGGAGGGUGCAAGCGUUGUUCGGAUUCACUGGGCAUAAAGAGCACGUAGGCGGCUCGCUCAGUCGGGUGUGAAAGCCCACGGCUCAACCGUGGAACUGCACUCGAUACUGGCGAGCUCGAGGAUGGAAGGGGUGAGUGGAACUUCAGGUGGAACGGUGAAAUGUAUAGAUAUCUGAAGGAACACCGGUGGCGAAAGCGGCUCACUGGUCCAUCUCUGACGCUGAGGUGCGAAAGCUAGGGUAGCGAACGGGAUUAGAUACCCCGGUAGUCCUAGCCGUAAACGAUGGGUACUAGGCAAUGGGCUUACUUAUGAGGCUCAUUGCCGCAGCUAAUGUGUUAAGUACCCCGCCUGGGGAGUACGG